CUGUUUUGUUUUGUGUUUUU
rnacentral:miRNA from 1 species